rnacentral:RNase_P_RNA from 1 species
GGGGAAGACCGGGGGAUCGCUCAUCGCGGAACGCGAUGAGAGGAAAGUCCGGACUUCACGGGCAGGACGCUGGGUAACACCCAGGCGGAGCAAUCCGACACCAGCACCACAGAGAACAGACCGCCGAUGGCCAACGCGAUGAGAUCUCUCAUCGUUGCGGCACAGGUAAGGGUGAAACGGUGGGGUAAGAGCCCACCGCGGUGGUGGUGACAUCACCGGCAGGGUAAGCGUCGUCCGAUGCAAGGCCAAAUAGGAAGACACCAUCGGUUCUUUUCGGAGAGCCGGUGACCAGCUGGCCCGGCUGAGGUCUUCGGGUAGGUCGCUUGAGGUUCGGGGUAACCCGAAUCCCAGAGAAAUGAUCUCCGCCGACUGAGAGCAUAUCCUGGUCGGCACAGAAUCCGGCUUAUAGGUUUUCUCCACCG